rnacentral:rRNA from 1 species
CAGUCGCCACGGGAAUACGGAGGGUGCAAGCGUUAAUCGGAAUUACUGGGCGUAAAGCGUGCGUAGGCGGUUCGUUAAGUCUGUUGUGAAAGCCCCGGGCUCAACCUGGGAAUGGCAAUGGAUACUGGCGAGCUAGAGUGUGUCAGAGGAUGGUGGGAUUCCCGGUGUAGCGGUGAAAUGCGUAGAGAUCGGGAGGAACAUCAGUGGCGAAGGCGGCCAUCUGGGACAACACUGACGCUGAGGCACGAAAGCGUGGGGAGCAAACAGGAUUAGAUACCCCCGUAGUCCCUGUCUCUUAUAA